UACAACAAGCAGCUUUCUACAUACUGUCCAAAAAAAUAAUCUCACUAGCAAUUUCUUCAUGACAUUUUAAAUUGAAUUUGAAAAAAAAAACCAAAAACCUAGUCUGGAUUUUUUGAGCUAGGAGGGCCCAUUUUGUAUGAAUAUUGUUCUAUUUAGUUACAUUUUGCUUAAUUUUCACCAUUUUAACACAAAAAAUAUCAGCAAUUUGCUUAUUGUAUGGAAAACAGGUAUACAGGUAUUGGACCAGAGAGAUUAUCACGUUACAAAGGAGAAAUGAAAUAAAGAUCUUACCCAUGUCCUGGGCUCGGAGAAGGGCUCCAAGAGGAAGGAUCUCCAGCUAGAGAUCCUUCCUCCUUGGGAGUCAGCCCUUAAAUGGGGUCUAGGAGGGGUGGAGCCAGGCUUCACCCCUUCCAGUCACUCAGGUGAAAUUGCAUUCACCUGUGCCCCUGCAGCUGACUCAGCACUUGCCUCAGGUGGUCAAUCAGAGGUUCAGGCCAUAAUUCAACAGUUCCCAUACACUGGGUCCUUAGAACUGGAUAAAAAUAUUUUUCAAAAUUUCAGAACAACCUCAGAAAAACAGACCAAUUUCUCCUCCAGCACUGGGUUUUCACCACAGACCUGUGCAUCUUCCUUGACUUCUCUACCUGUUUCUUUUAGGCCUCUCUCCUUAUACCACAAGACCCCCACACUUUCUGGCUCGGUUGCAGUGAGAAGACCAGCCUGGAGAGAGUGCCUGAGCAAUGGGCUGAGGGAUCUUGGAAGCAAACAUGGAGACAGCUGGAGGACGAGCUGGGCUCAUGCAUGGCUUUUCCAUUCAUUUCUGUAAAAGCUCAAGACCAGCUCAGAUGAUAUAGGAACUCUCAAGUGAGAAACGAUCAAUUUUCAUUACUGUCACAUUUCCAAAGCAAAUAUAAAUCAUCCUAGGCUUGUAAAAAAGAAAAAAUGCCUAAAAAACAAACAAGAUUAUUAUGAUUCAGAAUACUUUUUUUUUUUUUUUUUUUUUUUUUACAACUCUUGUUAUUCUCAAAGGAAUU
ensembl:lncRNA